rnacentral:rRNA from 1 species
UGGGGAAUAUUGGACAAUGGGCGAAAGCCUGAUCCAGCAAUGCCGCGUGAGUGAUGAAGGCCUUAGGGUUGUAAAGCUCUUUUACCCGGGAUGAUAAUGACAGUACCGGGAGAAUAAGCUCCGGCUAACUCCGUGCCAGCAGCCGCGGUAAUACGGAGGGAGCUAGCGUUGUUCGGAAUUACUGGGCGUAAAGCGCACGUAGGCGGCUAUUUAAGUCAGAGGUGAAAGCCCGGGGCUCAACCCCGGAAUAGCCUUUGAAACUAGAUAGCUUGAAUCCAGGAGAGGUGAGUGGAAUUCCGAGUGUAGAGGUGAAAUUCGUAGAUAUUCGGAAGAACACCAGUGGCGAAGGCGGCUCACUGGACUGGUAUUGACGCUGAGGUGCGAAAGCGUGGGGAGCAAACAGGAUUAGAUACCCCCGUAGUCC